rnacentral:rRNA from 1 species
AGUGAACGCUGGCGGCAGGCCUAACACAUGCAAGUCGAGCGGCAGCGGGUCCUUCGGGAUGCCGGCGAGCGGCGGACGGGUGAGGAAUACAUCGGAAUCUGCGCUGUCGUGGGGGCUAACCUAGGGAAACUUAGGCUCAUACCGCAUACGACCUACGGGUGUAAGCGGGGGAUCGCAAGACCUCGCGCGACAGGAUGAGCCGAUGUCCGAUUAGCUAGUUGGCGGGGUAAAGGCCCACCAAGGCGACGAUCGGUAGCUGGUCUGAGAGGAUGAUCAGCCACACUGGGACUGAGACACGGCCCAGACUCCUACGGGAGGCAGCAGUGGGGAAUAUUGGACAAUGGGCGCAAGCCUGAUCCAGCCAUGCCGCGUGGGUGAAGAAGGCCUUCGGGUUGUAAAGCCCUUUUGUCCGGGAAGAAAUCGUCUGGGCUAAUACCCCGGGCGGAUGACGGUACCGGAAGAAUAAGCACCGGCUAACUUCGUG